CGCGGAGUGGAGCAGUUGGCAGCUCGUCGGGCUCAUAACCCGAAGGUCGGAGGUUCAAGUCCUUCCUCCGCAA
rnacentral:tRNA from 1 species